rfam:Gossypium arboreum cultivar AKA8401 contig_69012_1, whole genome shotgun sequence.
UUUCCAUGAUGAGGGCUCUACAUAAUAGUUCUCUAAACCUUUCCCAAGCCUCAAAUAAGGACUCGUCAACCAUUUGUUGGAAGGUAGUGAUAUUAUUCCUCAACA